GUUCGAACGCGACGGUCAAAGAAACAACGAUUCCGCGACGAUACGCAAAACGUAACCGUCGUAUUCGCGCUCUGGAUAUAUCCCGUCAACCCGGUUAACGUAAUUGGCCAGAAUCUUUGGCCGUGACUAAUUACGAACGUGUAAAACUUUUGACCAAAACGUAGUGACAGAAUAUUUUCGACAGUCAACGAGUCACUUUGUCCCUAUCGGUCCAUAAGUUUAUGCUUCGUCAAACAUACUUGGAAAGGAUACUCGAUACGUCAGGUGGACGUAUCUAUGUGUAAUACAAAGGCAUAAGAUAACGGACAAGAACCGACGGAGGAUGUUUGUCUGAUUGACGUGACAACGAGAUUCUUAUCUUCGUAGGAGGGCCAUCGUUGCCCGUGAUGUCGAAUGGAGACGUCUAUUUAUCUAAUUAAUACAAUAAUAUAAUUAGAUCCAAUUAAUUGUAUAUAAAUAUGAAUGAGAAGUCGUCAAACGUAUAUUUUUGUUACAAAUACACGUGCCUAUUUUUACCAUUAUAUUAAGUCUAUCAUGGAUAACCAAUCAAAUCUAUAUUUCUUCUAAAAAUUCUCUUGCCAAAUUUGUAUGACUUAACCACGAAUAGAUCUUGAUCGCGAAGAAGGAAGAAGAAGCUGCUGAUGGUGGAAGUUAUCUUCUCUGUAACGAGGCAAAGUCCUUCGGAUGUCUCCGGUUACAGCGUGCUUUGCUAUCUUCGAGUUAGAUACGCAGCUGUUUACAUAUAUUCGAAGGCUGGAAGGGUUGUAUCAACUUUAUCGCACACGGUAGUAACUACGACGCAACGAAACCGUCUCUUCCUGGUCAAUCCGAUGGUUCAGCUAAACGUUAAUCCGCCAUCGCUAAUGCUGUAUUUAUUUGAGAAGAUGCCGCGAGGAUAAGCCAACGAAUAAUUAGCCGCAUCUGCGAUAUUUCGUUCCCGACGUUUGUAAUAUAUUUACAAUCCACGGAAAUGAGCUACGCCUACACACAACCGUUAUAGGGAAACAAGCUAGAAACAUGCGCACCAUGCAUAAAUAAAUACACGAUUGAUAUUCGAUUCUGAAGAAACAAGCAAUAUACUUCCGCAAGUUCGCACAUCGUAAGAAGAACAGUUCAACGAUAAAAUUGCAGAAGAAUAAUGGAUUAUGUAACUUACAAUUUUUCAUUCAUCGAUUAACUAAUUAUUAUUAUUUAGCUUUUAGUUGUUAGCGUCUAGAUAAUCGUGGAAGAAGAAUUUUUCCUAAAAGAAUAUGUAAGAAAAAUAUAAAAACGCGGAACACUUCCGUUUUUUACCCUGCAUUCUCUACUAACGUUGUCACAGCGCUACAACCGCAUACAUAAUCUAAAAGUUUCUCUGUCAAUUCUUCUAAUCUAUCCGCGAUCUGAGAAGCUUUUGACACGAUUCAUCCUCUUACUUUAUUUAAAUAAGAAUGAAAAAAUAUUGAAAUAAUUCUGCACAUUGUAGACAAGGAUCUCGGAUAAAUGGUAAUAAGAAAAGGGACCGUGAACGCGUUUCAACUGCGUGGCGAUUCGCAAUCUGGCACGAGAUACGUUCAAAGGAAUCGAGCGUGUAUCGUGGAUGCAGCAUCUGCCUUUCUACCAGAUAAUGAUGCCUCGUCGCGAUAUUCCGCGGGAUGCUUUUAAAACGACGUUGCUGAACACGCAACCAAGUCCAAAUACGCCGGCUGGUAAACGCGGUGAAGCCAAUUAUACGUACCGAUUCAUGGCGUGGCUACGAUGAAAAAGAAAGCAGAGGGAGUGGAAUGUAGGGACGCCGCCGGGUGAACACAGAAAAGUGGAGCUUAUUAAAGAGAAAAGGUCAACAAGGUGGAAAGGAAAAAAGGAGUAAAUCAGAACUCUCUCGCACAAUCGUUUACUAACUAACGAUACUAAUAUUUAAUGAAUCGACAAGCGACAAGUUGUAGAUUGUAAAUUUCUCUUUUAUAAUUUCGUCUAUUUUAUCAUCGAACGUCGUGUUUCGAUUACGAUAUUGUCCAGAAACAUUUGGACAGCUGAUGCGAUUCGAUCAACAGGUUGAUACUUUUCUUACAUUUUAUAUCGUACUCUAUCUUUCACAUAUUUUAUUUUCACCAUUUUAUAUUGUUAUAUUAUUCGUGUAUCUUGAAUUAUCGCUCGCUUUUAUCCAUCACUUUUAGCAAUAUCUAUUUAUCGUAUACGAUUGCUUAAGACAAGCAAUUUCAACAGAGUCUCUUUCGAAAUGUAUUUGCAAUAAUCAUUUUUAAUUAUUACGGACGAUAGCGUACGCAAGAGAAUCUAUCGGUAUCGUUCAUUUUUUCGCUAAUAAUAUUAGCUCGAUUGUGCAAGAGGACUGUGAGAUGAGCGAAAAAGGGAGAUACGAAAAGAGAAAGAAGAAAUACGAAAAAGAAAAGACGCGUGCCAAAAAUAAAGAAAGCGUAAACUUUUAUAUAAUUAAGGACUUUACGAAUUACGAUCAUUAAUUACCGAUACAUCGUUAAUGUAGCUUCGACGAUCGUUAGCUUGCGCCGUGCGUGCACGCCGAUCCUUUGUUACUGAUUGGCGUGUUAAUUAUAUCGCUGCUGAUUCUGACAUACGUGCGGUAUAGAGCGCAUGUGAGAGCCGUGACUGGCAACUUGGUGAAAAUUGUCUAUCAGUAGGAGGAAAUUAAGAUACGGAAUAACGAAAUAAUUUAUAUUGUACCGCGUGGAUGAAAGUACUGUUACGUAUACUGUGUAUAGAAUAGCGUAAACCUAAUCGACGAUUCGAAACGAUGGUCGUGCGUAAUUAGUUAGAUCGAUCGAAUUUUUGUAGUAUACUGUUUUUAAGGGUUCAAAUCAUCCUUGAUCUGAUUAUACAAAUUUUGUUCUACAUAUUUAUACGUUGAAAUUAUGAAAUGAUGAAAUAACGUAGAAAUCUAAGAUUUUCUAAGUCGAUGGUAAAAAUCUAUCUUACUAUUGAUUCGUUUUAUAAACGUGAGAGAUAUUACAAACUAGGCAGCAACGUGGCGACUGUCACGAAGUUAGUUGCGUUUUAAUAGCGUCAUUCAUCUUUCAAGAUCUCUCAAGAUGGUUACGUUCGCUAUUUUGCAUUGCAUUACGGUCAUAACCGAUUGUACGAGAAAUUCAUUUCUUUUUCUCCUUUUGCCCCGUCUGGUGUCACUCCGUGGCGUUAAUGCGCGAUAAGAACGAUGGGAUGACCAUUCAAAUUCACCACAGAUAGUUAGAGGAAGCGCAAUCUCUAGCUUGACGCGCCUCGACGCCAACAAUCGUCUUUUCUAUAAAAAUAUUCUCGUAAUUUAACGCGAUUUCAAGAAAAAAAAAAAUUCGAUAAAAUGCCUGGCGAUUGAAAUGCGAUUUGGUAUACAAGACGCGGUGAAUCGUACAUUUGAAUAUCGUCGAAGAAACCUUUUGUCGAACCCUUAAUUGCGGCAAGGACACGUCGUGCGACGCCCAUGAACUUAGAAAGCUUCUCAUCUCAAGGCGAUCUUUGAGUUUUAUAACUGUAUUGAAUUUUGUGCGUCAUGCCUCUGACUUUCUCUAUUGUGAAGCGGAAGAAUUGAAGGAAACGAGUUUGAGAACUUUAAGCAUUCGAAGUUUUAGAAACUGAACGACAGAAAGUAUUUAAAUGCGCGUAAGUAAAAGGCAAGUAAAAGCAAAAGUAAAAGAAAUUUUAAUUUUAAUAGAAAAGUAUAGGGAAAGUAGAUCGAUAGCACAAGAGGAUAAUUACGUAAAUUAAUAAAAGAAUUUGAAAGAAAAAUAAAUGUUCAAUCGUAUAAUCUUAUAUUUUACAAUAUUCUAUCUGAUUCA